UUAAAUAGAAAUGUAUGAUUCCAUCAAGUUAAUUAUUAGCAAGAAAGAAAAAAAUGAAAGUGUGAUAUUGUUUAAAUUGCAGAUGUGUUAAUACAGAAUAAUUAUGUUGACUGAAAAUGAGCAGUUCCAUCAGGCAGACACUGAAAUUUUUUCCCCUACCAGAGUCAACACUGAAUGUCUUAUACCGGAAAAUUACUGGGCAGAUUUGAAAUAACAAAGCAANNNNNNNNNNNNNNNNNNNAAAUUCCUCUAGAGAAUAAGACAAAUAAAAUGAUUACAGUGAUUUGAGUAGUCGGAUUUUAUAUAUAUUCACUUAGAAAAACAAUAUCCCAAUUAGUUGACAAUUGGUAGCUUCUGUUAUUUCCUGAAAUGGUUUCUGCAUUAAGAUUAUUGAUCUGUACUUCUAUUCAGUAGGUUACCUGAGAGAAGGUUAUUCUCAUUAUAAUGAACACAUGCAAAGGUUGUAUUUAUAAAUAUACCUAUUUUACUAUUUCAAAUUUAUGAUCUAAACGUAUUACCCAUGUAGGAAAUUCUACCGCUUGUACUGUUAACUCUACUGCAACAAUAUUAUGUUGAAUAUUAGCAAAUUUGGAAGCUUUAUUUUCUUCUACUCUAGUUGUCUUGGCUAGGGUUCUGAAUUUAAUGCUUUCAUUUUUCUCUGUAAUUUCAGUAGAGAAAUGAGUAAGUUCACUGGAUUUUCCAACCUAAGUGUUUGAAAAGUCGAAGUGUGGAUUGUGAUUUUCUAAGGAGAAGCAUGUUAGAGUUAGAAGUAGUCAAGAUACUUGCUUAUAAAGUGAAAUGGAUGUACUGUGAAAUGAAUACCCUGUCACCAAGUCUAUUAGAUACAUACUUCCUCUCUAAUGAAACACCAAACAAAUGCUGCUUUAACCAAGUAGACCUUAAAUUCCUCUCACACCAAGAAGUUUGGAAGUAGUUUUGUGGAUCAACCAUGUUGAGCCAUGAUUUGGUAUCUCUUAUAUCUUUUAUUCAUACUCACAAGACAAAUGCCUCAAGUCCAGGCAUAAUAUCCAAGCUCAAGGCAAGGAGAAGGAAGAAGGGAUAUGUCAGCUCUGAGCUUGUCAGUCCCAUUUAUCAGAAAGCACUAGGUUUACCAGUAAUCCAGCAGACUGCAGAUUACAUCCCAUUGUCUCGAACUGUGUCACGUGACCAUCCCAACAUGCAAGGGUGUCUGGGAAGAUGUCAUUUUCACAGUUUUUCUAGCAGAGGCAGGCAAGGAAGUGAGUUUGGGAAUAAGCAUUCCUUAAUUAGUCAGCCAACCAUGUCUGGGACAGUUAGUGGGUUAAAUGAAAGAAUUUUGAACCCAGGGUUUCACUGGUCUGCUAUACCUAAUUUUGUUCAAGAUUCCUCUAGGACUUAGGAAUAGAUUUAUUAAUGCAGAUAUCCAGGGAUAUGUGUGAACAUGGCCUUGAAAUAGUAGCUACUCCCCUACAAGAUACAAGAGCCACCAGCAAGUCUAGGUCAGGUCAGGGUGCAGACUUCUCUCUUUUAGUUUCUUUUUUCUCUUUUGAUCAUUUCUAGUAUUUCGCAUAACUUGGCUGUAUCCCUGGAGUUCUCCUGAAACCAUGUUUUUGUUUUAAAAAGCAACAUUCUCUAAGUUAUAACCUCAAAUGCAUAUUUAAAAUUAGCAUAAACAUGUGAAACAUCUAUAAUUAAUAAA
ensembl:lncRNA